GUGCUAUUGAGUUCACUCCCGGAGACGUACGAGAAAUUACACGCUCAAUUUCUCAAACGUUAAACGCAAGGAAUCCAAUUUAGAGGUUGGAAUAAUGAAAGGGUUGUUAUGCGGUGAAGGUUGCUGAUGGUGGAUGUUGUAGUUGAAGCUCAGAACUGAGUUGUGGAGGAAUGUUUGGAUGUUGCGAUUCAGUGAAGUAGAUGCAUAUUGUUGGGAAGUUGCGAGUUGAUGUGUUGAUUUUUGUUGAAAUUCGCAAGUACGGGUUUCGGUUCUGAUUGCGUUUUGGUGAUGCUAAAAGCGGGUUGAGUUCGAUUGGAAAAUGGGUGAGGAUGCGAAGUUUGUUGAAGGUGAAAACGAGUCCAGAUGUGAAGCUCAGGAAGAAUCAGGUGGAUGCAAGCAACACUAGUUGACUUUUAUAUCAAUGUUGUGGCCCUAGCAGUAAGUCUACAUUUUAUUAAUCUUAGUAGCUCUAAAUUUAUUUCACUGACUUGGCGGAUUAAUAUUCAAGAAGUUCUGUUUGUCCACAAAUAGAUUUUAAGACACUCUGUUGACAUUAUUAUUUUUUUUGUGCUUAUAACAGAAAGACUUAUUCUAUGAAAUUGUCAAUACUCCUCUCCCUGAACUUGACAAUUGCAAUGAGAGAACAAAUAACUGAAUUCCCUUAAUGCAAAUAACUUCUCACUUAGCUAUGUAGUAUUAGAUAGAUACAUAUUACUCUAUUUAGAAGGUAUGAAAUGUAAAUGAUUUCCAUCAAUAGAAAAAAACUGGUGUUUGGUUUAUUUUAAGUUUUCAUUUUCAGUUGAUGAUAAGUUUUCACAUAAUAAGAAAAAUGCUAUCUAUUUUUAUUUUCACUACCGUGCCUCAAGAUUUUUUAGUGGUGAGAAUGACAAAAUCUUGUUUCCAUUCUA